AGACAUCAACUGCCAUUCGUGGCCAGAAGAACCGUGAUCUGACGAGAUCCAGAGUCCUUUCUGUGCCCAAAUGGCCCAUCUGGUCAUGAAGCUGGUUGAGGACCUCAGGCCGCCAUUCCUCUGGAAGUACAAGUUGGGUGGAUAUCCAGCUGUUAACUCAUUGAGAGGUUUGACCACUGAUGAGAACCCUUCCACAAACCGGCGAUAAUACCCUGCAAAACCAAGGAAUGAUCUGAGCUCUUUUAAAUUCUGAGGAACCGGCCAAGAUGUUAAGGUGGAAAUCUUGUCUGGAUCUGUCUCCACUCCAUCCCUUGAAACUACAUGUCCAAGGUAGCGAACAGAUGUCUGAAAGAAAACACACUUUUCAACUGACAGCUUCAAUCCAAAUUCUUUCAGGCGUUGAAGAACUUUCUUCAACCGAAGUUCAUGCUCUUCUAGAGUUGGUGCAAACACUAUUAAAUCGUCAAUGAAAA